rnacentral:rRNA from 1 species
CUAGCUGUAAACGAUGGAUACUAGGCGUUGAGAGUAUCGACCCUCUCAGUGUCGUAGCUAACGCGUUAAGUAUCCCGCCUGGGGAGUACGCGCGCAAGCGUGAAACUCAAAGGAAUUGACGGGGGCCCGCACAAGCGGUGGAGUAUGUGGUUUAAUUCGAUGCAACGCGAAGAACCUUACCAGGGCUUGACAUGUCCGGAACCCUGCCCAAAGGCGGGGGUGCCGUACGGGAACCGGAACACAGGUGGUGC